rnacentral:rRNA from 1 species
UGGGGAAUUUUGGACAAUGGGCGCAAGCCUGAUCCAGCAAUGCCGCGUGCAGGAUGAAGGCCUUCGGGUUGUAAACUGCUUUUGUACGGAACGAAAAGUCUUGGGUUAAUACCCUGGGAUCAUGACGGUACCGUAAGAAUAAGCACCGGCUAACUACGUGCCAGCAGCCGCGGUAAUACGUAGGGUGCAAGCGUUAAUCGGAAUUACUGGGCGUAAAGCGUGCGCAGGCGGUUUUGUAAGACAGUGGUGAAAUCCCCGGGCUCAACCUGGGAACUGCCAUUGUGACUGCAAGGCUGGAGUGCGGCAGAGGGGGAUGGAAUUCCGCGUGUAGCAGUGAAAUGCGUAGAUAUGCGGAGGAACACCGAUGGCGAAGGCAAUCCCCUGGGCCUGCACUGACGCUCAUGCACGAAAGCGUGGGGAGCAAACAGG